AGAGCCAGCGCGUGCCAGACCUUCGUUAUUUUAUAAAAGCUGAAAGUUUCUCUGUGUAUUGUCCCCAGUACAGGGACGAACGAUCAGUGACAAUGAAGUUUGGAUCAUAGUGGAUUUGGGAAAUAACAGACAACCAAGGCGUAAAAAUG